rnacentral:rRNA from 1 species
CUACGGGAUGCAGCAGUGGGGAAUAUUGCACAAUGGGCGCAAGCCUGAUGCAGCCAUGCCGCGUGUAUGAAGAAGGCCUUCGGGUUGUAAAGUACUUUCAGCGGGGAGGAAGGGAGUAAAGUUAAUACCUUUGCUCAUUGACGUUACCCGCAGAAGAAGCACCGGCUAACUCCGUGCCAGCAGCCGCGGUAAUACGGAGGGUGCAAGCGUUAAUCGGAAUUACUGGGCGUAAAGCGCAAGCAGGCGGUUUGUUAAGUCAGAUGUGAAAUCCCCGGGCUCAACCUGGGAACUGCAUCUGAUACUGGCAAGCUUGCGCCUCGUAGAGGGGGGUAGAAUUCCAGGUGUAGCGGUGAAAUGCGUAGAGAUCAGGAGGAAUACCGGUGGCGAAGGCGGCCCCCUGGACGAAGACUGACGCUCAGGUGCGAAAGCGUGGGGAGCAAACAGGAUUAGAUACCCGCGUAGUC